rnacentral:rRNA from 1 species
GUGCCAGCCGCCGCGGUAAUACGUAGGGGGCAAGCGUUGUCCGGAUUUAUUGGGCGUAAAGCGCGCGUAGGCGGCGCGGUAUGUCGUGCGUGAAAUCUCCCGGCUUAACUGGGAGGGGCCGUGCGAAACUGCCGGGCUUGAGGUCGGAAGGGGAAAGUGGAAUUCCGGGUGUAGUGGUGGAAUACGUAGAUAUCCGGAGGAACACCAGCGGCGAAGGCGGCUUUCUGGUCCGAUACUGACGCUGAGGUGCGAAAGCGUGGGGAGCGAUCCGGAUUAGAAACCCUCGUAGUCC